CACCGCCUACCUCAUGUUCUCCUUGUGCGGCAGCCGGCAGCCUACAGUACGUACUCCUACAGUCCUCCUACUACUACUCCUCCUUCCUUGGCUUCCGCCUUCCCCCCAGCCAGGCCCGAGCCGCGGACCGCCCGCGCCCUGCCCACUACACUGGACGGGCAGUCGGGCCUGGCUGCCUGUGUGUAUUAAUAAAAA